rnacentral:tRNA from 1 species
GCAGUCGUGGCCUACUGGUUAGGGCUUCAGGCUUGGAACCGAAGGGUUGCCUGUUCGAUCCCCGACCA